GGAGGGUCACUACAGUAAUUACACAUGCGGAUAUCUGCAUGUGUAAUUACUACAGUGAUUACGUAUGCAGAUAUCUGCAUGUGCAAUUACUGUAGUGACCCUCC